UGGGGAAUCUUAGACAAUGGGGGAAACCCUGAUCUAGCCAUGCCGCGUGAGUGACGAAGGUCUUAGGAUCGUAAAGCUCUUUCGCUGGGGAAGAUAAUGACUGUACCCAGUAAAGAAGUCCCGGCUAACUCCGUGCCAGCAGCCGCGGUAAUACGGAGGGGACUAGCGUUGUUCGGAAUUACUGGGCGUAAAGCGCGCGUAGGCGGAUUAGUCAGUCAGAGGUGAAAUCCCAGGGCUCAACCCUGGAACUGCCUUUGAUACUGCUAGUCUUGAGUUCGAGAGAGGUGAGUGGAAUUCCGAGUGUAGAGGUGAAAUUCGUAGAUAUUCGGAGGAACACCAGUGGCGAAGGCGGCUCACUGGCUCGAUACUGACGCUGAGGUGCGAAAGUGUGGGGAGCAAACAGG
rnacentral:rRNA from 1 species